UGCAGAAAUCAACCGAGGAAGACUUGAUAGUCGACUUCAGCAGGCCCUAUACCCUGCCGGUUACACAGGGAGGCAUCACGACCUGAAGUCCAUUACUGCCUCAACCCUGGCUAACCUUAUUACAGGCAGAAUCAUCAGUGUGAAAGUGAACGUGGACCUAACCUUUGCAGAUAUCUGCGCCAGAUGGAUAGAAGAAAAAACGGGUAUGCAUACCCUGCGUUAGAUUACCGGAGAUAUAUCUCCUGGAGGGUGGUUCGAAGGGAUGUGCAGUCCAGAGAAUAACAUACAAAUGCUGCACCUGGAAUACGCAGAGGAGCUGCAAUACUAUAAGAUAAACUCAAAGACGUGGAAUGUAGAUGAAUG